AUUGAACGCUGGCGGCAGGCCUAACACAUGCAAGUCGAACGGAUCCUUCGGGAUUAGUGGCGGACGGGUGAGUAACACGUGGGAACGUGCCCUUUGGUUCGGAACAACUCAGGGAAACUUGAGCUAAUACCGGAUGUGCCCUUCGGGGGAAAGAUUUAUCGCCAUUGGAGCGGCCCGCGUCUGAUUAGCUAGUUGGUGAGGUAAAGGCUCACCAAGGCGACGAUCAGUAGCUGGUCUGAGAGGAUGAUCAGCCACAUUGGGACUGAGACACGGCCCAAACUCCUACGGGAGGCAGCAGUGGGGAAUCUUGCGCAAUGGGCGAAAGCCUGACGCAGCCAUGCCGCGUGAAUGAUGAAGGUCUUAGGAUUGUAAAAUUCUUUCACCGGGGACGAUAAUGACGGUACCCGGAGAAGAAGCCCCGGCUAACUUCGUGCCAGCCGCCGCAGUAACAC
rnacentral:rRNA from 1 species